rnacentral:rRNA from 1 species
UUAAGUUAUUAAGGGCGCACGGUGGAUGCCUUGGCACUAGAAGCCGAUGAAGGACGUUACUAACGACGAUAUGCUUUGGGGAGCUGUAAGUAAGCUUUGAUCCAGAGAUUUCCGAAUGGGGAAACCCAGCAUGAGUUAUGUCAUGUUAUCGAUAUGUGAAUACAUAGCAUAUCAGAAGGCACACCCGGAGAACUGAAACAUCUUAGUACCCGGAGGAAGAAAAAGAAAAUUCGAUUCCCUUAGUAGCGGCGAGCGAAACGGGAAGAGCCCAAACCAACAAGCUUGCUUGUUGGGGUUGUAGGACACUCUAUACGGAGUUACAAAGGACGACAUUAGACGAAUCAUCUGGAAAGAUGAAUCAAAGAAGGUAAUAAUCCUGUAGUCGAAAAUGUUGUCUCUCUUGAGUGGAUCCUGAGUACGACGGAACACGUGAAAUUCCGUCGGAAUCUGGGAGGACCAUCUCCUAAGGCUAAAUACUCUCUAGUGACCGAUAGUGAACCAGUACCGUGAGGGAAAGGUGAAAAGCACCCCGGAAGGGGAGUGAAAUAGAACCUGAAACCGUGUGCUUACAAGUAGUCAGAGCCCGUUAAUGGGUGAUGGCGUGCCUUUUGUAGAAUGAACCGGCGAGUUACGAUUUGAUGCAAGGUUAAGCAGUAAAUGUGGAGCCGUAGCGAAAGCGAGUCUGAAUAGGGCGUUUAGUAUUUGGUCGUAGACCCGAAACCAGGUGAUCUACCCUUGGUCAGGUUGAAGUUCAGGUAACACUGAAUGGAGGACCGAACCGACUUACGUUGAAAAGUGAGCGGAUGAACUGAGGGUAGCGGAGAAAUUCCAAUCGAACCUGGAGAUAGCUGGUUCUCUCCGAAAUAGCUUUAGGGCUAGCCUCAAGUGAUGAUUAUUGGAGGUAGAGCACUGUUUGGACGAGGGGCCCCUCUCGGGUUACCGAAUUCAGACAAACUCCGAAUGCCAAUUAAUUUAACUUGGGAGUCAGAACAUGGGUGAUAAGGUCCGUGUUCGAAAGGGAAACAGCCCAGACCACCAGCUAAGGUCCCAAAAUAUAUGUUAAGUGGAAAAGGAUGUGGCGUUGCCCAGACAACUAGGAUGUUGGCUUAGAAGCAGCCAUCAUUUAAAGAGUGCGUAAUAGCUCACUAGUCGAGUGACACUGCGCCGAAAAUGUACCGGGGCUAAACAUAUUACCGAAGCUGUGGAUUGUCCUUUGGACAAUGGUAGGAGAGCGUUCUAAGGGCGUUGAAGCAUGAUCGUAAGGACAUGUGGAGCGCUUAGAAGUGAGAAUGCCGGUGUGAGUAGCGAAAGACGGGUGAGAAUCCCGUCCACCGAUUGACUAAGGUUUCCAGAGGAAGGCUCGUCCGCUCUGGGUUAGUCGGGUCCUAAGCUGAGGCCGACAGGCGUAGGCGAUGGAUAACAGGUUGAUAUUCCUGUACCACCUAUAAUCGUUUUAAUCGAUGGGGGGACGCAGUAGGAUAGGCGAAGCGUGCGAUUGGAUUGCACGUCUAAGCAGUAAGGCUGAGUAUUAGGCAAAUCCGGUACUCGUUAAGGCUGAGCUGUGAUGGGGAGAAGACAUUGAGUCUUCGAGUCGUUGAUUUCACACUGCCGAGAAAAGCCUCUAGAUAGAAAAUAGGUGCCCGUACCGCAAACCGACACAGGUAGUCAAGAUGAGAAUUCUAAGGUGAGCGAGCGAACUCUCGUUAAGGAACUCGGCAAAAUGACCCCGUAACUUCGGGAGAAGGGGUGCUCUUUAGGGUUAACGCCCAGAAGAGCCGCAGUGAAUAGGCCCAAGCGACUGUUUAUCAAAAACACAGGUCUCUGCUAAACCGUAAGGUGAUGUAUAGGGGCUGACGCCUGCCCGGUGCUGGAAGGUUAAGAGGAGUGGUUAGCUUCUGCGAAGCUACGAAUCGAAGCCCCAGUAAACGGCGGCCGUAACUAUAACGGUCCUAAGGUAGCGAAAUUCCUUGUCGGGUAAGUUCCGACCCGCACGAAAGGCGUAACGAUUUGGGCACUGUCUCAACGAGAGACUCGGUGAAAUCAUAGUACCUGUGAAGAUGCAGGUUACCCGCGACAGGACGGAAAGACCCCGUGGAGCUUUACUGUAGCCUGAUAUUGAAAUUCGGCACAGCUUGUACAGGAUAGGUAGGAGCCUUUGAAACGUGAGCGCUAGCUUACGUGGAGGCGCUGGUGGGAUACUACCCUAGCUGUGUUGGCUUUCUAACCCGCACCACUUAUCGUGGUGGGAGACAGUGUCAGGCGGGCAGUUUGACUGGGGCGGUCGCCUCCUAAAAGGUAACGGAGGCGCUCAAAGGUUCCCUCAGAAUGGUUGGAAAUCAUUCAUAGAGUGUAAAGGCAUAAGGGAGCUUGACUGCGAGACCUACAAGUCGAGCAGGGUCGAAAGACGGACUUAGUGAUCCGGUGGUUCCGCAUGGAAGGGCCAUCGCUCAACGGAUAAAAGCUACCCCGGGGAUAACAGGCUUAUCUCCCCCAAGAGUUCACAUCGACGGGGAGGUUUGGCACCUCGAUGUCGGCUCAUCGCAUCCUGGGGCUGUAGUCGGUCCCAAGGGUUGGGCUGUUCGCCCAUUAAAGCGGUACGCGAGCUGGGUUCAGAACGUCGUGAGACAGUUCGGUCCCUAUCCGUCGUGGGCGUAGGAAAUUUGAGAGGAGCUGUACUUAGUACGAGAGGACCGGGAUGGACAUACCUCUGGUGUACCAGUUGUCGUGCCAACGGCAUAGCUGGGUAGCUAUGUGUGGACGGGAUAAGUGCUGAAAGCAUCUAAGCAUGAAGCCCCCCUCAAGAUGAGAUUUCCCAACUUCGGUUAUAAGAUCCCUCAAAGAUGAUGAGGUUAAUAGGUUCGAGGUGGAAGCAUGGUGACAUGUGGAGCUGACGAAUACUAAUCGAUCGAAGACUUAAUCAA